UACUGGGGUAGGUGGGCUCAGCCCACUUCCCUCUUCUCCUGCCACACAGAGUCCUACUGGGCUGUUAUUGGUGGAGGACCCUCAAAGCAGUGGCUCUUGGCGUUAACACCUGUAGUGAGGCGGCCUGGUUCCCAGGCACCCCGGAGGACGAAGAACCCAGCAGAAGGCCGGACUGGGCGGAGCUAUGGAGCUCUGAUCCCGCCCCGCAAAGGGUCAAGCGCCGACCCGGAAGUAUAAAGGUGGGACCUCCGAGCUCAGUAAGGCGCCAGCCGUCAGAGGGACCGGAUGUCUGCGAUCGAGCUCCUGCUGGGGAGGCAGCAGAAGGCAGCGACCGGCCUAGCCUUCCCCUCGCUCACUAUCCCAGGGAGGCCUGGCCGAGCCUGCCCCGCGCUCGCUACCCCGAGGAGGACUGGCCGGGAUCGCCCCGCUCCAGCUACCCCGACGAGGAGCCGAACCUACCUUUUGCCACCUACCCCGAGGACCCGCUGAACCCGUCCGUGGACACCCACGUUGAGGAGCCGAUGGUGGUUGACCCCUAUGCUGACACCACGACGACUCAGAUCAAGAGCGGCUGAGAAUGAGCUGCCCACCCUCCACAACAGAACUCCCACUGAUGUUGUCAUCAGAGCAUAUGGCCUGAGCAACCAGCCUGAUGAUAAAGAAAAGAGGCCCAAUUGUCUUCCAUCGCAGCUGGAUCAACUCCAUAAUGCAGAGAGAGUGAAUCUAUUAAUUAAAAUCAGCAGACUUCA